GUAGGGAAUCUUCCACAAUGGACGAAAGUCUGAUGGAGCAACGCCGCGUGAGUGAUGAAGGUUUUCGGAUCGUAAAACUCUGUUGUAAGGGAAGAACACGUACGAGAGGUAAUGCUCGUACCUUGACGGUACCUUACGAGAAAGCCACGGCUAACUACGUGCCAGCAGCCGCGGUAAUACGUAGGUGGCAAGCGUUGUCCGGAAUUAUUGGGCGUAAAGCGCGCGCAGGCGGCCUUUUAAGUCUGAUGUGAAAGCCCCCGGCUCAACCGGGGAGGGCCAUUGGAAACUGGAAGGCUUGAGUACAGAAGAGAAGAGUGGAAUUCCACGUGUAGCGGUGAAAUGCGUAGAGAUGUGGAGGAACACCAGUGGCGAAGGCGACUCUUUGGUCUGUAACUGACGCUGAGGCGCGAAAGCGUGGGGAGCAAACAGGAUUAGAAACCCGAGUAGUCC
rnacentral:rRNA from 1 species